AGUGAACGCUGGCGGCGUGCCUAAUACAUGCAAGUCGAACGGUAACAGGAAGUAGCUUGCUACUUUGCUGAUUAGUGGCGCACGGGUGAGUAAUGCAUAGGUCAUGUGCCCCAUAGUCUGGGAUAGCCACUGGAAACGGUGAUUAAUACUGGAUACUCCCGAGAGGGGAAAGUUUUUCGCUAUGGGAUCAGCCUAUGUCCUAUCAGCUUGUUGGUGAGGUAAUGGCUCACCAAGGCUAUGACGGGUAUCCGGCCUGAGAGGGUGAACGGACACACUGGAACUGAGACACGGUCCAGACUCCUACGGGAGGCAGCAGUAGGGAAUAUUGCUCAAUGGGGGAAACCCUGAAGCAGCAACGCCGCGUGGAGGAUGAAGGUCUUCGGAUUGUAAACUCCUUUUCUAAGAGAAGAUUAUGACGGUAUCUUAGGAAUAAGCACCGGCUAACUCCGUG
rnacentral:rRNA from 1 species